UUCUUCCUUGUCAUGGGGAUGCAUAAUGUCCAGUGAACGUAUAGUGAGGGCAUUGAUGCUGACAAACCCACUAUCGAAGAAAGGAUUCGUCCUCUUCUUUGCGAAACCCCCGUCCGCCGGUUCGCUUUCAAACAGCUGAUCCGGCUGGUCGGAAUUUUUGAAGCG
rnacentral:ncRNA from 1 species